rnacentral:rRNA from 1 species
GACGAACGCUGGCGGCGUGCCAAAUACAUGCAAGUAGAACGCAGUUGCGAACGGGUGAGUAACGCGUAGGUAACUGCCCCAUAGCGGGGGAUAACUAUUGGAAACGAUAACUAAUACCGCAUAAUGUGAGAUGGACCUGCGUUGUAUUAGCUAGUUGGUGAGGUAAAGGCUAACCAAGGCGACGAUACAUAGCCGACCUGAGAGGGUGAUCGGCCACACUGGGACUGAGACACGGCCCAGACUCCUACGGGAAGCAGCAGUAGGGAAUCUUCGGCAAUGGGCGGAAGUCUGAACGAGCAACGCCGCGUGAGUGAAGAAGUUUUUCGGAGCGUAAAGCUCUGUUGUGAGAGAAGCGGGAGCUAACCAGAAAGGGACGGCUAACUACGUGCCAGCAGCCGCGGUAAUUC